rnacentral:rRNA from 1 species
ACUCCUACGGGAGGCAGCAGUGAGGAAUAUUGGUCAAUGGUCGCAAGACUGAACCAGCCAUGCCACGUGCAGGAUGACGGUCCUAUGGAUUGUAAACCGCUUUUGUACGGGAAGAAACACUCCUACGUGUAGGGGCUUGACGGUACCGUAAGAAUAAGGAUCGGCUAACUCCGUGCCAGCAGCCGCGGUAAUACGGAGGAUCCGAGCGUUAUCCGGAAUCAUUGGGUUUAAAGGGUCCGUAGGCGGCCCUGUAAGUCAGCGGUGAAAUCUCCCGGCUCAACCGGGAAACUGCCGUUGAUACUGCAGGGCUUGAAUUGCCGGGAAGUAACUAGAAUAUGUAGUGUAGCGGUGAAAUGCUUAGAUAUUACAUGGAAUACCGAUUGCGAAGGCAGGUUACUACCGGCGUAUUGACGCUGAUGGAUGAAAGCGUGGGGAGCGAACAGGAUUAGAUACCCUGGUAGUC